AUUCACCUUUUGCAACAUUGCAAUCACUUUCUCCCUGACCCUAGCCAGGCACACAUCUCCGUGAACAGCUAAAGCAUGGUGAGUGGCAGUGAGGGCCAC